rnacentral:rRNA from 1 species
GAUGAACGCUGGCGGCGUGCCUAAUACAUGCAAGUCGAGCGAACAGACGAGGAGCUUGCUCCUCUGACGUUAGCGGCGGACGGGUGAGUAACACGUGGAUAACCUACCUAUAAGACUGGGAUAACUUCGGGAAGCCGGAGCUAAUACCGGAUAACAUGUUGAACCGCAUGGUUCAACAGUGAAAGACGGUCUUGCCGUCACUUAUAGAUGGAUCCGCGCCGCAUUAGCUAGUUGGUAAGGUAACGGCUUACCAAGGCAACGAUGCGUAGCCGACCUGAGAGGGUGAUCGGCCACACUGGAACUGAGACACGGUCCAGACUCCUACGGGAGGCAGCAGUAGGGAAUCUUCCGCAAUGGGCGAAAGCCUGACGGAGCAACGCCGCGUGAGUGAAGAAGGUCUUCGGAUCGUAAAACUCUGUUAUUAGGGAAGAACAAAUGUGUAAGUAACUAUGCACGUCUUGACGGUACCUAAUCAGAAAGCCACGGCUAACUACGUG